ACAGCAGUAGCCGCGGGAAUACGGAGGGUGCAAGCGUUAAUCGGAAUUACUGGGCGUAAAGCGCACGCAGGCGGUCUGUCAAGUCGGAUGUGAAAUCCCCGGGCUCAACCUGGGAACUGCAUUCGAAACUGGCAGGCUAGAGUCUUGUAGAGGGGGGUAGAAUUCCAGGUGUAGCGGUGAAAUGCGUAGAGAUCUGGAGGAAUACCGGUGGCGAAGGCGGCCCCCUGGACAAAGACUGACGCUCAGGUGCGAAAGCGUGGGGAGCAAACAGGAUUAGAUACCCCAGUAGUCCCUGUCUCUUAUAC
rnacentral:rRNA from 1 species